GGCUUGAUAAUUGUAGAAGGAGGCUAUUGUAGCAGGUUGAGAGCAUUUUCUUCAUUAUCCUUUUUCUAUUUAUUGUAUUAAUUUUCUGUGGGGUCGGGGGCGAGCAGGGAGCCACUGUUGAUGGCUUUAGCCUAGAGAAAGGUUGUUGACAAGCAUCAAUGAUACACUGAUGUUAUCUGCUGGAUUGGUUGCUAAUGACUUUGGGAGCCCAGAAAAAAAACAUCUUUCAUUAUUCUGAAAGAACAAUGUUUUUUAUUUUCUGUGAAAACAUUACCUGUUUUCAUCAAGCAAAAAGAACUUGGACCCAAAAGUUUUCAAUUCUUUUCACAAGAUGUGUUAAGGAGCGAAGCAACGAAUACUUCAGCAGUCUUCGGGUAAUUCAGGUCAUAGCUAAAGCUAUUAUUGUUGGCUUACUACGGUGGCAUUUAGAUACUUCAUCUCCUAAAAAGGCAGCAGAUCAGGCAAGUAAUGCUAAUUUUGUUUUAAAACUAACUAGCAUGUUUCUAUCUUUUUAGUUCUCUAACAAAUUUGGUAUGGAAAAUUUUGCAACAUUGUAAUGAUAUUGUUCAUGCAUCCAUAAACUAUGAGGGGAAUAUGCAGAAAGAGUAUAAUGCUCAUUUUGUUUUAAAACUAACUAGCAUGUUUCUAUCUGUUUAGUUCUAUAACAAAUUUGGUAUGGAAAAUUUCGCAACAUUGUAAUGAUAUUGUUCAUGCAUCCAUAAACUAUGAGGGUAAUAUGCAGAAAGAGUUCAGCAUGCACUUGGAACAAUUGGACUUAUUUUCUUAUGUGUGAAUACAAUAGUUAACUGGUCUUGUGUCAACUCCUGGUUGUGAGAAUAUUAAUAGAAGCUAACAAAAUGUCUUAAUAAGUUAUCUUCGAUAUUGUUCAUGCAUCCAUAAACUAUGAGGGUAAUAUGCAGAAAGAGUUCAGCAUGCACUUGGAACAAUUGGACUUAUUUUCUUAUGUGUGAAUACAAUAGUUAACUGGUCUUGUGUCAACUCCUAGUUGUGAGAAAAGUAAUAGAAUCUAACAAAAUGUCUUAAUGAGUUAUCUUCCAUCAAAAUAUAUUAUUGUGACUAACCACAAGUUUUUGCAGCAAAUAUAUACUAUGUUCACAUUGUUGGAGCUAAGUUUGUCCGCACGUUUCAUAUUGCAUUCUAUGCUUGUCCUCAAAAAACAAAGAGCAAUGAUUAAUUCUGACUGUUUUCAAGUGACUGCAAAGACAGGCAGGGACAAAUGAACAGAUCAUCUAUGCCUCAAGCCGCUAAAGUUGUACGUUGGUUGUAUCAAAUCAUGG
rnacentral:lncRNA from 1 species